rnacentral:misc_RNA from 1 species
CCGAGUUUACAACUCCCAAACCCAUGUGAACAUACCUACUGUUGCUUCGGCGGAAUUGCCCCAGGCGCCUCGUGUGCCCUGGAUCAGGCGCCCGCCUAGGGAAACUUAACUCUUGUUUAUUUGGAAUCUUCUGAGUAGUUUUUACAAAUAAUAA